UGUUAAAAUUUCAUCCAUUUGUAUUAUUAAAAAUUGGUAUGGCCAACAAAUUAACCAGACAGUGCCAUGUGACGUACCAUGUGUACCUUAUGUUGACGUAUAUUGACCAAUUUGUAAUAGUAGAAAUGAAUGAAAUUUUUGAUA
rfam:Gossypium arboreum cultivar AKA8401 contig_13475_5, whole genome shotgun sequence.